UCCCACCUUGGGACAAAACACUGUAGGGUUAUGAUGGGACAGGAAGGUUGACAUGGUGACUUUGUGACCUGCCCCUGUGCUCAAUGCCUUCAUGCUGACAGUGCCAAGAGAUAGUCACAGGACCUUUGCAGGAGUCUCAGAUAAGGACUCUUUUUCCGCAUCGCAGCCCCUCACAGGGCAUCCUUUGGUGACAACCUCAAGGAAUCCAUAUAUUUUGUUAACUGAAAAGGUGACUGAGCUCACUGGUUACUGUGUGUGAAGAGGUCAGGGCACCAAGGGGCAGGUGUGUGAAAAGUAGUGGGCUAAAUGUGGGUCCUGAAAGCAGCAGGGUGACUUCAGAAAGAGAUGAAGGUUGUAUAUGAUUGUCAUGAGUGGAAGUAGUUCAUCCAUCCACUGUCAUGUGACAGGCUGCCCAACCUUGAUGACUUAACACAACCAUUUUAUUGUGAUCUCAGGUUAAGUGAAUCAGAUCCUGUUAAGGUGGAGUGGGGAGGUCCCCUUAAAAAGGGAACCUGGGAAGACCCCAGUUCUGGGAAAGACUGGAAUUGACUAGAAGAUUCUUCACUAUCCCCUGUGGCACCAGAGCUGAGGAAUGUCAGGGUGACUCAAUUGGAAUGGUCAUGAAACCCUAACCUGUGAUCUCUCCCUGUGACUUGGGCCUCUUCCCAGCAUCAGUGGACAUGGACUUCCUUCAUGGAGGCCCAGAGCUUGAGGAGAUAGUGUCUGCAGUGAGGAGCUUGAGAUGGUGGAGCCCUUUAUGACAUCACUCCACCAGGCAUGGUGUCAUUUAUACUGUUCUCUGACCAGAGGUUGGCCAGAUUGUUCAGCUUCAGAGAGGAGUGUGGAUGGGCUCUGCCGGUGUCUUCACCCUUCUUCAUCAAAGUGCCUGGAGUGGCAGAGUGGGGCACGGUGUGGAGAGAUGGUGUCAUACAACCUCAUUCAAAAGGAAUGCAGGCCACCCAGACUAUAAACCAUCCACACCAGAUGCUGACCUGAAGUGCCAUCUUUCCAAAGUCCGGAGGAAGUAGGACCACCUGAUCUUUGACAGGAGUCUUCAGAACUGUGAGCCCAAACCUUGGACUGAGCAGAUGCUGAUGAAGCCUCUGUCCUACUGAGCACUAUUGGUAGCUUCAGGCUUUCCUGAGGAGAGCUAGUCACACUCGGGCGGUGGCCCUACACCUGUGUAUGUACCUGCAGCUCUAAUUAGACUCAAUGGAUUGUAAAGGGAAAAAA